rnacentral:piRNA from 1 species
UGCGAGAUACUCAGCGUGUGACCUGU